GAUGAACGCUGGCGGCGUGCCUAAUACAUGCAAGUCGAGCGAACAGACGAGGAGCUUGCUCCUCUCACGUUAGCGGCGGACGGGUGUGUAACGCGUGGAUCCCCUACCUAUCAGACUGGGAUCACUUCGGGACACCGGAUCUAAUCCCGGAUAAUCUCUUGCACCGCAUGGUUCAAUAGUGAAAGUCGGUUUUGCUGUCUCUUAUAGCUGGAUCCGCGCGGUAUUAGCUAGUUGGUAGGGUAACGGCCUACCACGGCAACUAUGCGUAUCCGACCUGAGAGACGGGUAGCCCGCCUUGGAGGGUGAACGCCGACCAGACGACUACGAGAGGCACCAGUAGCGAAUGGGCCGCAAUGGGCGAAAGCCUGACGGAGCGACGCCGCGUGAGAGACGAAGGUCUUGGGAGCGGAAAACUCGGCUAUUAGGGAAGAACAAAUGUGGAAGUAACUAUGCACGUAUUGACGGUACCUAAUAAGAAAGCCACGGCUAACUACGUG
rnacentral:rRNA from 1 species